rnacentral:rRNA from 1 species
CACGUAGGGUGCGAGCGUUGUCCGGAAUUAUUGGGCGUAAAGAGCUCGUAGGCGGUGUGUCACGUCGGCCGUGAAAACCUGCAGCUUAACUGUGGGCGUGCGGUCGAUACGGGCAUCACUGGAGUUCGGCAGGGGAGACUGGAAUUCCUGGUGUAGCGGUGAAAUGCGCAGAUAUCAGGAGGAACACCGGUGGCGAAGGCGGCAUCCUGGACCGGUAUUGACGCUGAGGCGCGAAAGCUAGGGGAGCAAACGGG